rnacentral:rRNA from 1 species
GCGCACGGGUGCGUAACGCUGUAUGCAAUCUACCUUUUACAGAGGGAUAGCCCAGAGAAAUUUGGAUUAAUACCUCAUAGUAUAGCAGUUUCGCAUGAAACCACUAUUAAAGUCACAACGGUAAAAGAUGAGCAUGCGUCCCAUUAGCUAGUUGGUAAGGUAACGGCUUACCAAGGCUACGAUGGGUAGGGGUCCUGAGAGGGAGAUCCCCCACACUGGUACUGAGACACGGACCAGACUCCUACGGGAGGCAGCAGUGAGGAAUAUUGGACAAUGGGCGCAAGCCUGAUCCAGCCAUGCCGCGUGCAGGAUGACGGUCCUAUGGAUUGUAAACUGCUUUUGUACGAGAAGAAACACUCCUAUGUAUAGGAGCUUGACGGUAUCGUAAGAAUAAGGAUCGGCUAACUCCGUGCCAGCAGCCGCGGUAAUACGGAGGAUCCAAGCGUUAUCCGGAAUCAUUGGGUUUAAAGGGUCCGUAGGCGGUUUAGUAAGUCAGUGGUGAAAGCCCAUCGCUCAACGGUGGAACGGCCAUUGAUACUGCUGAACUUGAAUUAUUAGGAAGUAACUAGAAUAUGUAGUGUAGCGGUGAAAUGCUUAGAGAUUACAUGGAAUACCAAUUGCGAAGGCAGGUUACUACUAAUU